AAAUGCGGGAAUACUUUCUGUUCUAGGUCGCCCACCAGUAAAAUGCGGGAAUACUUUCUGUUCUAGGUCGCCCACCAGUAAAAUGCGGGAAUACUUUCUAUUCUAGGUCGCCCACCAGUAUAAUGCGGGAAUACUUUCUGUUCUAGGUCGCCCACCAGUAAAAUGCGGGAAUACUCUCUGUUCUAGGUCGCCCACCAGUAAAAUGCGGGAAUACUCUCUGUUCUAGGUCGCCCACCAGUAUAAUGCGGGAAUACUUUCUGUUCUAGGUCGCCCACCAGUAUAAUGCAGGAAUACUUUCUGUUCUAGGUCGCCCACCAGUAUAAUGCGGGCAUACUUUCUGUUCUAGGUCGCCCACCAGUAAAAUGCGGGAAUACUUUCUGUUCCAGGUCACCCACUAGUAUAAUGCGGGAAUACUUUCUGUUCUAG
rnacentral:lncRNA from 1 species